rnacentral:tmRNA from 7 species
GUCCAAUUGGACUAGGUGAUCUCAACCGAUGUUUCGGACAGCGGUUCGAUUCCGCUCAACUCCACCA